rnacentral:rRNA from 1 species
UACGUAAGUGGCGAGCGUUAUCCGGAAUUACUGGGCGUAAAGCGUGCGUAGGCGGUUUAGUGUGUGGGAAUUGAAAGCCCGGGGCUCAACUCCGGAAUUGCCUUUAAGACUGCAUCGCUUGAAUCAUGGAGAGGUGAGUGGAAUUCCGAGUGUAGAGGUGAAAUUCGUAGAUAUCAGGAGGAACACCGGUGGUGUAGACGGCUUUCUGGACCGUAACUGACGCUGAGACACGAAAGCGUGGGUAGCAAACAGG